CCGGCCCGGCGGGCAGUAACGGCCGCGCGCGCGGGGAGGGGCCGUGCGCAACAACGGCCGAUCCCCCUCAGCGCCGCCGCCCGCGGGAGGAGGAUGCGCCGCCUCGGCCCGGCCGCGCCAGCCACACCGGCGAGACCAUGAGGGAGCCGCCCUGCCGGCCCCUGGCGCUGGGCUCCUGCCUCCUGCUCUGCGCCCUGCUCUGGCUUCCUGUUUGGAAUGUCUUUUGUAAAGACACUCACUCAUCAGUGGUGCAGUAUGCUUCAGGUGAUGCUUGUGCCCUGGCCAGCGAGGAUGAAAAUGUCCAGGAAAAGGGGGAAGAGGCUGCUCCCAGCCUGGAGCCCGAGGACUCCAGCACACGGAGUUACUCUAUGGAAGAGCUGCUCAAUGACUUGACAAAAUCUGACCAGGCAAGGCUUUUGUUUGAUUCACUGUCUUCAUACAGCCUUCAAUUGCUUCUUGGAUUUCACUCUUUCAUUUUGGUUAUCUAA
rnacentral:lncRNA from 1 species